rnacentral:rRNA from 1 species
AUUGAACGCUGGCGGCAUGCCUUACACAUGCAAGUCGAACGGCAGCACGGGAGCAAUCCUGGUGGCGAGUGGCGAACGGGUGAGUAAUAUAUCGGAACGUGCCCAGUCGUGGGGGAUAACGUAGCGAAAGCUACGCUAAUACCGCAUACGAUCCAUGGAUGAAAGCGGGGGAUCGCAAGACCUCGCGCGAUUGGAGCGGCCGAUAUCAGGUUAGGUAGUUGGUGAGGUAAAGGCUCCCCAAGCCGACGAUCUGUAGCUGGUCUGAGAGGACGACCAGCCACACUGGGACUGAGACACAGCCCAGACUCCUACGGGAGGCAGCAGUGGGGAAUUUUGGACAAUGGGCGCAAGCCUGAUCCAGCAAUGCCGCGUGCAGGAUGAAGGCCUUCGGGUUGUAAACUGCUUUUGUACGGAGCGAAAAGGCUUCCACUAAUACUGGGGGCUCAUGACGGUACCGUAAGAAUAAGCACCGGCUAACUACGUGCCAGCCGCCGCAGUAACAC